rnacentral:rRNA from 1 species
UACGUAGGGUCCGAGCGUUGUCCGGAAUUACUGGGCGUAAAGAGCUCGUAGGUGGUUUGUCGCGUUGUUCGUGAAAACUCACAACUCAAUUGUGGGCGUGCGGGCGAUACGGGCAGACUAGAGUGCGGUAGGGGGGACUGGAAUUCCUGGUGUAGCGGUGAAAUGCGCAGAUAUCAGGAGGAACACCGGUGGCGAAGGCGGGUCUCUGGGCCGUAACUGACGCUGAGGAGCGAAAGCGUGGGGAGCGAACAGG